GGACCUCCAAUCAGUCAAGAUUACCCGCUGAAAA
rnacentral:rRNA from 1 species